AUUGAACGCUGGCGGCAGGCCUAACACAUGCAAGUCGAACGGUAACAGGAAGACGCUUGCUUCUUUGCUGACGAGUGGCGGACGGGUGAGUAAUGUCUGGGAAACUGCCUGAUGGGGGGGGAUAACUACUGGAAACGGUAGCUAAUACCGCAUAACGUCGCAAGACCAAAGAGGGGGACCUUCGGGCCUCUUGCCAUCGGAUGUGCCCAGAUGGGAUUAGCUAGUAGGUGGGGUAACGGCUCACCUAGGCGACGAUCCCUAGCUGGUCUGAGAGGAUGACCAGCCACACUGGAACUGAGACACGGUCCAGACUCCUACGGGAGGCAGCAGUGGGGAAUAUUGCACAAUGGGCGCAAGCCUGAUGCAGCCAUGCCGCGUGUAUGAAGAAGGCCUUCGGGUUGUAAAGUACUUUCAGCGGGGAGGAAGGGAGUAAAGUUAAUACCUUUGCUCAUUGACGUUACCCGCAGAAGAAGCACCGGCUAACUCCGUG
rnacentral:rRNA from 1 species